GACGAACGCUGGCGGCGUGCCUAAUACAUGCAAGUCGAACGAGGGGCGGACGGGUGAGUAACACGUGGGAACCUACCCAUCAGAGGGGGAUAACACUUGGAAACAGGUGCUAAUACCGCAUACUGAUGGAUGGACCAGGGGUGCAUUAGCUAGUUGUGGAGGUAAAGGCUCACCUAGGCGACGAUCUCUAGCUGGUCUGAGAGGAUGAUCAGCCACACUGGUACUGAGCCACGGCCCAGACUCCUACGGGAGGCAGCAGUGGGGAAUAUUGCACAAUGGGCGCAAGCCUGAUGCAGCCAUGCCGCGUGUAUGAAGAAGGCCUUAGGGUUGUAAAGUACUUUCAGCGGGGAGGCGUUACCCGCAGAAGAAGCACCGGCUAACUCCGUGCCAGCAGCCGCGGUAAUAC
rnacentral:rRNA from 1 species